GAAACACGGACCAAGGAGUCUACCAUGUGCGCGAUUCAUUGGGACUCUGACUAAACCUAAAGGCGCAAUGAAAGUAAAGGUCCGCCUCGCGCGGACCGAGGGAGGAUGAGCCGGCCCACGGGCCGGCUCCGCACUCCCGGGGCGUCUCGUUCUCAUCGCGAGAAGAGGCGCACCCAGAGCGUACACGCUGGGACCCGAAAGAUGGUGAACUAUGCCUGGUCAGGACGAAGUCAGGGGAAACCCUGAUGGAGGUCCGUAGCGAUUCUGACGUGCAAAUCGAUCGUCGGAACUGGGUAUAGGGGCGAAAGACUAAUCGAACCAUCUAGUAGCUGG
rnacentral:rRNA from 1 species